ACCGGGACUAGGAGCAAUGCUUGAUCGCCCUUGAGGUGCGCUAUAGUACCGAAGAAGAAGGGACUAGAAUCCUUAAUCCUAUUCCUACUUGUGGUUUGGGAGAUCUGGAAGGAACUGAACUAAAGAGACUUCCGGCACAAGAGCUACCCGCGCUUUCACACUAUACAUGCAAAGAUCAAGAGCUGGGUUCAGAUUUGGGUUAGGUGGGGGCAAAGCACUUCACAGUGCUUCAAGCAAAAAGUAAUUACUUCCCUGUAAUUGGUAAUUGGUUAAUAUAAACGCCUUGCAAAUUUCUUCCCCUUUAUUUUUAUAUUUAUUAAUAUAAUCAGUAGGAGUUACCCCUCCUGUUCUUUCCAAAAAAGUACAAUCUAUAUUUUUUUUCUUGUUUAGCCCUUAAGGGUUUGUACACUCCUCGUCUCAUGAAAUUAGCAGUGUCACAUUCCGGGUUUCAUUAAAAAAAGCUUCAAAUAUGCAGCAAGAUUAGCUCGUGUCUAGAUGAAAAUGACAUUACAUGUACUUGGGAUCCUCACAUCAUGUGUCCAACAACGUACAGUAACACUGUUUUACUUUCCUCACGCAGUGCAUCCUGAUAUUGCUCGAUUCUGAGAACAAGAAGUUUUACUCCACACACACACACACACACACACCUAAUUAUCUCAACCGUGACCCACACAUAUCUGACACUCUGUUUAAUUUGUAAAAAAAAAAUUAUAUAUUUUGCAUGAAUUAUAUAUGCUCCAGGUCAAGUGUGCACACCUACUGUACUUUGGUUUAUUGUUGUUGGAAAGUUGUUUGACAUUGUUACUCUCUAUGAAUGCAAAUACGCCGUCGAGUAAUCCAGAUAUCCCCUCUAUGUCUAUAUAUAACUUUGCCUCUUCUCACCUCCUCAUCUUUUUUGUUUUCCCAC
rnacentral:lncRNA from 1 species